rnacentral:lncRNA from 7 species
CAUGAAACUGCCCAGAGCUCGUCGCUGGGGAGAGGCUGCGUAUGGCGUUGUGAAGGGAGAGAUGGAGGAGGGGUUUGAGCAGCGCUGUGCAGGAAUGAACGGCUGGCAGGAGUCGGGCAGCGGUACUGCAGCUCCUCUGGCAGCUUUGCAGCUCAGUUGGGAAGCAGAAGAUGUGGAUGUGAAAGAAGAAGUCCGUUGCUGGGACGUUCCCCUGUUCUUCCCCCAGCUGUCCCCUUGCCUCAGCCUGGAUUCCCCUUGCGUUCCUGUAGGAUUCCCUUCCAUCCCCCUGGCUGCCCCUUGCUUUCCCCAAGGCUGCCCUUUCCUUUCUCAUGACAGCCCACCCAUCAUUCCCUCAGAGCCCCAAUGUCCUUCCAAGUGUUUCCCAGCAAGACUCCUAGAGACACCCUGUAGCCCCCCACAGAGCCUGGAGCCCCUCAAGGAACCCCCUCAGACGCAGUACACCUCCCCCGUAGCUGGCCCAUACCCACAUGGUGCCCCACAAUCCCCAGCAUCACCCCAUGUCCCCCACUGGGCUUCCACGGAGUCCUCCUAUUUCCUCCCUCAGACCUCCUUUACACCUCCAAGAUCCCCCCUGGGAACUCCCUGAACCCGGAACCCCAUGUUCCCUGACAGGUCCCCAUCACCAUGCCAGGACCCCCAUAGCCCAUCUUUGGCCUCUCCUCCCCCUGACCUGCCUCCAGAUCCCGUACAACCUCCCGGUGCUGUGCAUGGAUGGCUUCUGCAGGUGAGGAAUGAGGAGCUGGAGAAGGUGUAGGGCACAAUGUGGGUGAAAGUGAAGUGGGUGACUGGGGAUACUGGGGAACACGGAUCAGAACAUGGGGGAUUUGGGGAGGAUAAGGGGAUGUGGACCACAGCCUACAGGAGCAGAGUGCUUCACAGGAGAAGGCGAGGUGUGAGGUACAGGUGGGACUUGUGGGUGCAGAGACAUGACGUGGCAUGGGUACGUGGGGGGUUUGGGGGCUCGUGGGGAGAGGUUUGGGGUCAGAAUGGGGGAUGUGGAGUGGUGUUGGAGUGCAUUCAUUGAUUUCUUCCUGAGAGGGGAUUGGGGUUCUUUUCGUCUAAUGUUGAAGCCCUGAUCAUCACCCCACAUGAGCCCAGAACCCCAGAAAAGUCCACGUGACCACAAGGCUGCACAUGUCCCAUAACCCUGUGAGCACCGUAACCCCAUAUGAGGCUGUGGGCAGGGAUAGGUCUGUUCCUGCAUUGUUCAGGGGGUACUAUAAGGUGGCUCUGGGGCCGCUGUAGGUCAGCAGCCUGUAUAUUCCCUGACGCUCAUCUUGCCCUCAUCUUGGGGGGCAAGAUGGAGGUCAAGGGGUUAGUUGGGAGCUAUGGAAGAAGUUCCAUGAGUGUAUCCCAUAGCUGCCCAUGGCAGCCCCAGAGCCAUCGUAGAGCAGCCCCAGAGAGCCCCAUCACUGCCCGCAGCCCGUGGCCAGCAGCAGUUCCACCAGCAGCAGUGUGUUGGGUAAAGGCAGCUCAGCUUUACCCAACUGCAGCAGUGCAGUUGGGUAAAGGCACAACCCUGUGAGGCUUCCCCACAUCCCAGCACAUCCACCCAAGUACCUGUGGGGUGUGCGAGAAAUGC